rnacentral:rRNA from 1 species
GACGAACGCUGGCGGCGUGCUUAACACAUGCAAGUCGAACGGAAAGGCCCUGCUUGCCGGGUACUCGAGUGGCGAACGGGUGAGUAACACGUGGGUGAUCUGCCCUGCACUUCGGGAUAAGCUUGGGAAACUGGGUCUAAUACCGGAUAGGAACCAUCUUUAGUGUGGUGGUUGGAAAGUUUUUUCGGUGUAGGAUGAGCUCGCGGCCUAUCAGCUUGUUGGUGGGGUAAUGGCCUACCAAGGCGGCGACGGGUAGCCGGCCUGAGAGGGUGUACGGCCACAUUGGGACUGAGAUACGGCCCAGACUCCUACGGGAGGCAGCAGUGGGGAAGAUUGCACAAUGGGCGCAAGCCUGAUGCAGCGACGCCGCGUGGGGGAUGAAGGCCUUCGGGUUGUAAACUCCUUUCGCUAGGGACGAAGCUUUUUGUGACGGUACCUAGAUAAGAAGCACCGGCUAACUACGUG